GCCACUAACUCUUAGCGGGUUUUCAUUUAUCAAUCUAAUUGAUUAUUUGUGAUUCCUAAUCACAUUCAACCAUUGGAUCGGUCAAUACCUCUAAUGUGUGUGACCCCAUAGGUUCCAUUCUGACUGGUAGUGAGAUAUAUUAUGAUCUCUAUCACAAUAUCAUUGAAAACUCUUUUCAAUGGGUUGAAACAAUUACAACUCAACUCACCAGGGAUUAUCGACCAUCGAGAUGAUCCCUGUGAGUCUCACCAUCCACCAGUGACACCUAGUAGUAUGUAGUGGCCACCCAGCAGAAUAGAAUGAUGAACCUCUAGGUGCAGCAAUCGUAUGAUACAGUCCUUCUAUCGUGGAUCCCUACAGAUCGGAGGUCAUGGAAAACUCGUCAAACCCCGUCGUCUGUCAUAUGUCUAGAUUUAUUUGACUUGAGUUCGAUAGUGAAAAACUCUUUCUCCACUUUAUAUUUCUGCCCUGGCCAAGGUCUUUGAACUCAGUCUAACAAAUCACAUAGGAUCACUCCUCUUC
rnacentral:lncRNA from 1 species